rnacentral:rRNA from 1 species
GACGAACGCUGGCGGCGUGCUUAACACAUGCAAGUCGAACGGAAAGGCCCUGCUUUUGUGGGGUGCUCGAGUGGCGAACGGGUGAGUAACACGUGAGUAACCUGCCCUUGACUUUGGGAUAACUUCAGGAAACUGGGGCUAAUACCGGAUAGGAGCUCCUGCUGCAUGGUGGGGGUUGGAAAGUUUCGGCGGUUGGGGAUGGACUCGCGGCUUAUCAGCUUGUUGGUGGGGUAGUGGCUUACCAAGGCUUUGACGGGUAGCCGGCCUGGGAGGGUGACCGGCCACAUUAGGACUGAGAUACGGCCCAGACUCCUACGGGAGGCAGCAGUGGGGAAUAUUGCACAAUGGGCGGAAGCCUGAUGCAGCAACGCCGCGUGCGGGAUGACGGCCUUCGGGUUGUAAACCGCUUUCGCCUGUGACGAAGCGUGAGUGACGGUAAUGGGUAAAGAAGCACCGGCUAACUACGUG